UACAGAGGGUGCAAGCGUUGUUCGGAAUUAUUGGGCGUAAAGAGCUCGUAGGCGGUGUGUCACGUCGGCCGUGAAAACCUGCAGCUUAACUGUGGGCGUGCGGUCGAUACGGGCAUCACUGGAGUUCGGCAGGGGAGACUGGAAUUCCCGGUGUAGUGGUGAAAUGCGUAGAUAUCGGGAGGAACACCAGUGGCGAAGGCGACUUUCUGGCCUGUUCUUGACGCUGAGGCGCGAAAGCUAGGGGAGCAAACGGG
rnacentral:rRNA from 1 species